GUCGAGCGGACAGAAGGGAGCUUGCUCCCGGAUGUUAGCGGCGGACGGGUGAGUAACACGUGGGUAACCUGCCUGUAAGACUGGGAUAACUCCGGGAAACCGGAGCUAAUACCGGAUAGUUCCUUGAACCGCAUGGUUCAAGGAUGAAAGACGGUUUCGGCUGUCACUUACAGAUGGACCCGCGGCGCAUUAGCUAGUUGGUGGGGUAAUGGCUCACCAAGGCGACGAUGCGUAGCCGACCUGAGAGGGUGAUCGGCCACACUGGGACUGAGACACGGCCCAGACUCCUACGGGAGGCAGCAGUAGGGAAUCUUCCGCAAUGGACGAAAGUCUGACGGAGCAACGCCGCGUGAGUGAUGAAGGUUUUCGGAUCGUAAAGCUCUGUUGUUAGGGAAGAACAAGUGCGAGAGUAACUGCUCGCACCUUGACGGUACCUAACCAGAAAGCCACGGCUAACUACGUGCCAGCAGCCGCGGUAAUACGUAGGUGGCAAGCGUUGUCCGGAAUUAUUGGGCGUAAAGGGCUCGCAGGCGGUUUCUUAAGUCUGAUGUGAAAGCCCCCGGCUCAACCGGGGAGGGUCAUUGGAAACUGGGAAACUUGAGUGCAGAAGAGGAGAGUGGAAUUCCACGUGUAGCGGUGAAAUGCGUAGAGAUGUGGAGGAACACCAGUGGCGAAGGCGACUCUCUGGUCUGUAACUGACGCUGAGGAGCGAAAGCGUGGGGAGCGAACAGGAUUAGAUACCCUGGUAGUCCACGCCGUAACGAUGAGUGCUAAGUGUUAGGGGGUUUCCG
rnacentral:rRNA from 1 species